CUUAUCAGUACAUCCCUCUGGCCCAGCCUGUUCCUGACUGUAGCAUAAGCAAUUGCCCAAGCACUUUUACAACAUCCCAGCACCCACAGAGGUGCAAAGCCCCUAUACCAAACUCUUUGCCUUCAGCUGCAGUGGCUGAAUGUUGAGCUAGGUAACUCAGGUGAUGCUUGUUGGGCAAUGAGGGCUAGAAGCUGAUAUGAAGCCUCAACAGGGAUUUCUGGGAGCAUGCUCUCCUCUGGGCUGUCUAGUCCCUAGCAUCAUCUUCCUUUGAUUCCUCUCCAGCCGUGGGAUGUGCUCCACUGGUUUGGUUGUGUAGUACGCCACUGUAUUUACAUGGAGAAUUCCUGCCCGGUGUUUAAGGAAGAAAAAUCCGCAGAAGUUUAAAUUCACCCUUGGGCAAAGACUCUGCUCUUGGACUUGCCAGACGUCUGGCUCUCAUCCAGACAGCCUGACUUGCAAGCCAGGCUUUCAAGGAAGAAAGGAACCCUUGGGAAAGAGCAGAUUACAGCUGGUCCAAAAAGAGGGGAUUCUGCUCAGUGAAUGCCGUUCCAGUUCCUACACAGUACAGGCAAUUGUCACCUCCUUUCUCCCCUCUCCCCCCUGCCCCCGUGCCUUUCCUUAACUCAGCUGUGCUGUAGCACUUGAUCAAUUGCAACAGCACUAAAAAAAAAAAAAAAAAAAAAGUUAGUCAUACAUGAUCAGCAAAAUGGCCCAAAUGAUGUCAUCCAUCAAGAUGGACAUCGCAAUUUGCCAACUAUUUUCUCAUAAAUCAAAUCAUAGUCCCACAAGGAAGAAGAGCAGCUCAUGAAGAGCCAACAUGGCAGCAGUUAUCGGCAGACUGAGAGAAAUGCUCCCUCAAGUAUACAGUAAUUAUUUUUACUCGAUGGGAAAUAAAGAGGGGAGAGAUGGUAGUGUAGAACUGGAG
rnacentral:lncRNA from 1 species